rnacentral:rRNA from 1 species
UGCGAUAUACAGCAAGCGGCUGAGCGAAAGCAUUAAGUGAACCACCUGGGGAGUACGMYCGCAAGKKUGAAACUCAAAGGAAUUGACGGGGGCCCGCACAAGCGGWGGAACAUGUGGUUUAAUUCGAUGAUACGCGAGGAACCUUACCUGGGCUUAAAUGCAGGAUGCUGUACCGGGAAACCGGUAUUCCCUUCGGGGCGUUUUGCAAGGUGCUGCAUGGUUGUCGUCAGCUCGUGCCGUGAGGUGUCGGGUUAAGUCCCAUAACGAGCGCAACCCUUACCGUUAGUUGCCAGCGGGUAAAGCCGGGGACUCUAGCGGGACUGCCACCGUAAGGUGAGAGGAAGGUGGGGAUGACGUCAAAUCAGCACGGCCCUUAUGUCCAGGGCUACACACGUGUUACAAUGGCCGGCACAAAGGGCAGCUACUGCGCGAGCAGAUGCGAAUCCCGAAAGCCGGUCUCAGUUCGGAUUGGAGCCUGCAACUCGGCUCCAUGAAGUUGGAAUCGCUAGUAAUCGGAUAUCAGCAACGAUCCGGUGAAUACGUUCCCGGGCYUUGUACACACCGCCCGUCAAACCAUGGAAGCCGGGGGUACCUGAAGUCUGUAACCGAGAGGAGCGGCCUAGGGUAAAUCCGGUAACUAGGGUUAAGUCGUAACAAGGUAACCAAGGGCGAA